rnacentral:lncRNA from 1 species
CCAGGUUUCCAGCAGAAGCUCCAGCACACCCCAGACCUCCAUACACACCACCGAGAGGCUGUCACAUGGAGCCUCUGGUCUGAGGUUUCCUACAGGAGGGGGGAGUUGUCACAUCCAGAAAGACAACAGUGCUGUUUGCCUUGCGACUGUUUACAAAGGACAGAUCAUGCCCGACACAUACACGGUGCCGCUGACAGGCUUAGGAGAGAGGCAGAGUAGACAGGAGCAGCCCAAGGACACUGUGUGUUUGGAUGGUCAAUGACACAUUUGAUGCCUAUCAGGAAAUUGUACUUGUAAAUUCAUUCAAACUGACUAAGGGGCUUCCCUGAACUAAAAAUAUAAAAUUGUAAAAAGAGUGAAGAGGAAUAAUAGAGAGCAAAGCCUGAAACUUGGCUGGAGGGCAUGAGAUAUCAGAUGGGCCCUGAGGAGUUGGAAUAGCUCAGUAAGUUGAGUUUUUGGCAGAGAAGGAAAAAUAAAUAGCCUCCACUGGUGAUGAG